rnacentral:rRNA from 1 species
UCCAGACUCCUACGGGAGGCAGCAGUGGGGGAUAUUGCACAAUGGGGGGAACCCUGAUGCAGCGACGCCGCGUGGGUGAAGGAGCGUUUCGGCGCGUAAAGCCCUAUCGGCAGGGAAGAAGGAGGACGGUACCUGACUAAGAAGCCCCGGCUAACUACGUGCCAGCAGCCGCGGUAAUACGUAGGGGGCAAGCGUUAUCCGGAUUUACUGGGUGUAAAGGGGGCGCAGACGGCAGCGCAAGCCAGGAGUGAAAGCCCGGGGCCCAACCCCGGGACUGCUCUUGGAACUGCGCGGCUGGAGUGCAGGAGGGGCAGGCGGAAUUCCUGGUGUAGCGGUGAAAUGCGUAGAUAUCAGGAGGAACACCGGUGGCGAAGGCGGCCUGCUGGACUGCGACUGACGUUGAGGCCCGAAAGCGUGGGGAGCAAACAGGAUUAGAUACCCCAGUAUGC